rnacentral:sRNA from 2 species
CCUCCUCGAUCUGCUGCGGACAGAUGAAGUGGAUAUGCGUAUCGAUGGCGCCGGCCGUCACGAUCAGCCCCUCGCCGGCCACCACCUCGGUCGAAGCGCCGAUGAUGAUGGUCACGCCCGGCUGGGUGUCCGGGUUGCCCGCCUUGCCGAUGCCGCUGAUCAGCCCGUCCUUGAUGCCGAUGUCGGCCUUGACGAUGCCGGUCACCGCGUCGAUGAUCAGCGCGUUGGUGAUCACCGUGUCGACGCAAUCGGUGGCCAGGCGCUGGCUCUGCCCCAUGCCGUCGCGGAUG